CAAUACGUAUUUUAAGUUUGUGGUAUAUUAAAAAGUUUAUGAAUAUUAAUAAACAGAAAACAUGAUUGCAAAUUGUAAAAUCUUUAAUAAAGUAAUGCUUCAGAGAGACAGGCAGAAGUGGAUAAGGGCAGUAGGGGGAAGGUGAAAUGGAGAAGUCUAUUCAACACUUUCAAAGAUAACAAAAACUGAAGCUUAACUAGCAGCCAGAUGAAGAGAAGCUGGUGGGUAUCAAAAAUAUUUUAAGCUACAUUUGCUGCUUCCUCCUUUGGUUUUCUUUCUUUAAAGAGCAAAAUAAUGGCUAUUCAGUCGUUAGCCUUGUGUUCAAAGAUCCUGUUCUUUUUUGAUUAAAAAUUUUCUGAAACGAUAUGAAGCAUAUGAAGCAUUUUUUUUAAAUAGGGUAAGUUGUAAAAGUAAAGAAGUAACUUCCAAGCAAUGGCUUUACAGUGUGAAGACAGAUAAAUUUUUUAAUACUUAGAAUGUUCUUCAAAGGUUAUUAUAUUGCUAAGAAAGUGCCAUCUCUUAGAUAGCAAUGAUCUCUCAGUAGACACCCUGCGUGGGUCCUACGCUUUAAGGAGAUCAGGUCUCUUUUAGAACAUCAAAUGUACGCUUGAUAUUCUGUUCUCAGAGUCCUGAUUCUGAUGUCUUCUUAUCGCAAUGACUGCAUUGAAUUCCACAAAUAUACACUCUUUGGAGAAGAUAGAAAGUAUUAGGAGUUGUUCCCCCAAAACAUCUGAAAGUAUUUUCAGGUGAAAUCAUCUUGUUAGAGGAUCACAUGCCCUCACACUAAGGCUCCAUGUGCUAAAGUCUCCUACUAUUUUGUCUUAGUACACAUGGGAGUCAAAAGGGACUUUAUAUAGUUUUGAAAUAUUUAUAUGGCCCAAACAAAUCAUAUUUCCAAAAUCAUGUGUACCUUUGUUGCUUAUGAAUGUGAGACUGACAUAAUUUCAUGGUAACAAUGACACAUGUCUCAACAGUUCCCCAGCAGUAAUGAAAACUAAUAGGGAAAAAUCAAUUAAAAUUGGUUUUAUAUAGCUUUUUUUAUAGCUAAUGCAAGUCUUUGUCCAGUUUUAAAUAGCUCUUCUAAUUUUUCUUUGGUCCAAAUGUUCUUAAUGGAUUGAAACAUGGGAGUAGAAUUCCAUACAAAAUUAAUUUAUCUGCUCACUAAUAACUAACUUAGGAUUUCAUUUUUCUACAAAAUGGUAACAACACCUGCUUUAUUCAAACUUAAAUAGUACUCUAUGAGAAUGAUACCCCAUGAAUAGAAAUAGUCAUGCUUGGCCCUCAGUUACAUUAUAAUAAUUCAGGUCAUUACAUAGCUGUCAUUCUGUCUAUACAGAUAACAACUAAAUAUCAUUUCAGUAUCAUUUGAUAUAUGUAUAGAGUUUAAUUUGGGAAUAAAUAUAUGACUACUAUGAAAAUUAACAGAAUUCAUGGCUACUUUUAAUGCAUUAAAGUUGUAGAACGAACAUUUUGCAAAAUAUAUUCAUCAAGAAUUGCUUAGAUAGCUAGCAAGUUAGACGUGAGAUUGAUCUCCCAAAUCCACGUUAAAACCAAAACCAAAAACCAAAAACCAAAACCAAAACCAAGACCAAAACAACAAAAAUGAACAAACAGGUGUGCAAGGUCAUCAUUCUUGUACUCUGACCAACACAUAUACACAUGCACACCAGUGAACAAGCACAGAACACAUGCACAUAAUGAGUUGACAUAAAAUAAUCAUUUAACAAUAAGGUUAAAUUAUGGUCCUCUUAUGGAGAUAAAGCUUUACGUCAAUGAGGAGUAGAAAACAUAAAAAAAAAAAUUAUGAGCCAAUUUCCCAUUUUUUUGCAUUAGAAAGAAAGAAGAAAUAAUUCACAAACAUUUCGUACAAGCUUAGCUGACAACUAUUUUCAUAUUUCACCCAGGACUUCCUUCUUAAGGUUUUGAUCAAGUUAGACGCACUGCUCAGAAGACAAAUGGCAUCACAGGACAGGUAUUAUGAAUCUUAGUUAAAGAUUAUGUAGAUUGCUCUGGAAAAGUAGUGAUUCAUCAAACAAUAUGAAGAUGUCAUUGACAUUAGAUCCCACAGGACCGAUGUGUGGUCUUUCUGUGGUACUGUACUCCUUAUGAUGGCUUUCUUAAGGUCCCCAUCACAUCCUAUUGUAAUUGUUGAUUCAUGAGCUUUCUUUCUCACUAGAAGUUGUCUGAGUACACAUGGUCCUUAAAUUACCUAUCAUCCCUUUCAAACUUAUGGCAGUACUCAGUAAAUGAGAAGUGAAAUAGUAAAUGUAUGAAUGAGAAGUGAGGAGUUAUAACUAAGAUGAAGGGGAAGUCAUAUUAGAUAAAGUAUCAGUUGGGUAGACAGAACGAAAUAUCAGACUUCUAAUUUUUGUGCUACCCAACACAUUAAACUGUUGGUGUCCUUUAGUGGGGAAGCAGAAUAAAUGGUGAUAAAAGAUCUUUCCUUAUUUAUUUUUCGUCACACAAGGGCAUAUAAUCUUUGUAGUCACAAAAAGUCUUUGACUUUACUGAUUUCAAUUGUUUUAUGAAUUUAUCCUUACAGCCAUGUUUUGCAGCCUCAUUAUUCAGAGAAAUUUAGUGACAUAUAUGAUUACACACACUUAUAUUAUUCAAACAGUUGUCUUUCAAGAAACAAAGAAAAGUUUGUAUGUAAAGGAUGCUAUUUCCCCUAAAAUGUGGUCUUAGUCAUUAAAGAGGAGUAAAAAUAGAUAAUUUUGACACUUUAGGAGUAGUCAUCUGCUCUUGGAAAGAUAUAAAUGUGUUUUGUUCCUUUCCUCCAACUAAGCCAAAUUAUUCCCUUCCUCAAAUCCGAGAUUAUAUUUUUCUCCAAAAACAAUUUCUGAUAUGAUAUGAUUUAUGAUCAAGUAAUUGACUUGCAAACACCUUAAAUGAACUUUCAAUAAGCCAUCAAAUGUUGUUGAUGGAUGCCACAUGAAAGGAUCCAGCAGCCAUCUGGAGAAGUGUUGGGCAAUCAGGCUACCAUUUUCGAAUCUGAGAAAGCAAUCCAAAAGAGAAUGGGAAGAGGACCGCAGCAGAUGGCUGUCCAGCUGAACUAGACAAGUGUGGGUACACAGCAGAGAGUAGCUACUUUCACCACUUGCUCAAGACCAUUGUACACUGAGACAUGCAGACAUUUGAGGGGCACCUCUCUCUCUCUCUCUCUCUCUCUCUCUCUCUCUCUCUCUCUCUCUCUCUCUCUUUCUCUCUCUCUCUCUCAAAGAGGCAACCACAAAGGGGCUGAGUGAGGACUAUAAACUACUCUAUUAAUUCACAGGAAAUCACAGACCAGUUUGACUGAAUUCAUUCUAAUGUUAAAGCAAAUAUGUAUACAGGAUCAAUAAUAAUUUACUUUGAGAUCUCCAUAAAUAUCUUCUUUAAAACAUCAGGGUUAAAAAGCC
rnacentral:lncRNA from 1 species